ACAAAUCGAUGGUUUAUUUUCCUUCAGUGUCGAAUGGUGAAAAUGGAUGGUGCUGCGAUGAAUGAUAAACUGAUAAACUGAGGUGAUAAAUUAAGGUUCUGUCCUUGUGUACCAGUUCACAAGAGCCGAUACAAAAGACCGAACAAUACACAACAGCUAACCAAUGGCUCCUAAACAAAGAAAGAACAAUGGUAAUUCCCUUGUGAACCGGUACACCAGGACAGAACCUAAAUUAAAGUGAAACCUACCGAAACUAAAAAACACAACACACGAGCUCUGAACCGAAUGGGCCUGGGAAACCAAGCUGACUGAGUGGGUCCCAGGACCCACUGACCAAAAAAAGGCGGCAAAACCCGUAACAUGGAGUGUCGAAAACAGUUUAUGUGCCAUUCAUGCGAUGAAAAGGUUCACAGAACAAUGUCAAAAACACCCAAUAUUUUAUCAAUGCUCAUAAAACUUGUACAAUAGAAUGAAGGGGGCAAAUUUUGUAAAUUUUACUUUUUUUAGAGGCCUGAAUACAAGUGGCUGUUGGUUAUUGCAUUACUUAUAUUUUAAUUUGGUGUGUUUUAUUGAGUUUAUUUAUAUAAAAGAUAUAUAAAGUCGAGGUUUAAUCAUUAGGUUCUGCACUAUAGUAACUGUUAUCAUCCAUUGUCUUUAAUAAUAUGCAGUUAUAUUAUGAAAAAAAUGAUACAUUUUUGGCAGUUAUAAUUGUUUUCUUCAACAGACAAAGGAGGCAAUCAUAUUAUGAAGAUCUUUUUAUUGCCAACAAGGGGGAUGUUGAUAGUCACAUGAACAAAGUAUAUGCAAAGCAGUCCAAAUCUAAGAUCGUGAGGAGCUCAUUACUGAGCAUGCUAUUGCUUGGAAUCAAAGUAAAAUCAAUGGCAUGGCACAGAGUCUGUCAAGAGGAUACAUACGGGCCGUUGAAAUGAAAGUAGAAUCGCAAAAAAGAUUUUGAUGACGGUCUAGACAGGAAUAAUGUGUCACUGGAUGACUUUAAGCCAGAUGAGUGGAAGAGUAUUGUUGUUAAUCACGCACAUGGGGUGGAAGCCUGGCAAGGCAAGGGCAGUGGUAUACUGCGGAUUCAAGAUGAGGUUGAAAUGUUGGUUUCUGCCAUUCAACAGACCACUCAUUCAAUAAGCGGACUAGCAGACUUGUCCAAACAGCGUGCACACCUCCGCAAAAAGAUUUCUUCAAACAAGAAUAAGCUGUCAUUCAUAAUAGAUAAGUACAAUCAAGAGAAAGAAGGCAAUGAAGCUUUGCAAGCUACUGUCUCUGAAGUUAUGAAGGGGAAUUUCUCAUGGGGAAACACAACAGGUAAACUUUGUGAAUUUUAGUACUCAAUUCAACUUGUCUCUUUUGUUGAGCAUUUCAGGUUGUGGCUGUCAUUUUUGUUCUAAGUAUAAUUAUUUUCAUUCUAUCAUUGAUUAAGUAUUUUCUUGUACAUUGUACAACUUACUAAUCUUUUAUAAGAUAAGACACACUUGUGAUAGGGGGUAGCUUAGUAGCUACGGUCAUUGUGUUGGUGUCUUAAGAAAGACACUAUGCUCCAGCACUGCCCCUCUCAAGCAAAUUGUACCAGCAAACUGUUCACAACUUCUAAUGGAUUAGGCCCCUUCUGAGGUGUUGCGUUUUUUCCAACUUCUGAGCACGCAGGACAUUAAAAUCAAGAACAACAACAACAACAACAGCAACAACAACAAGCCGCUUAUUUUCUUUGCUUUUAAAACGUUAUUUUGCAAAUAGUAAAUGCUAAUCUAGGCGGGCCAUUGAUUGCUUAUGCAUAAAACUAGAUCAAUUAAAUAACAUUAAUAACAAUUAAGAUUUAGUUACAUGUAAUAUUAUUAUAAUAGUUUCUGCAUAUUAAGAUUGCUAAAACAAAAUGAGGGGAGAAUAAUGAGAGAAGACACUGAUUUUAAUUACUUAAAGUUUCCUGUUCUUGAAUAAUCUCGUGUUUAAUAAGAAAGGAAUUUUCUUUG